rnacentral:rRNA from 1 species
AACGAACGCUGGCGGCAUGCCUAACACAUGCAAGUCGAACGAGACCUUCGGGUCUAGUGGCGCACGGGUGCGUAACGCGUGGGAAUCUGCCCUUGGGUUCGGAAUAACAGUUGGAAACGACUGCUAAUACCGGAUGAUGACGUAAGUCCAAAGAUUUAUCGCCCAAGGAUGAGCCCGCGUAGGAUUAGCUAGUUGGUGAGGUAAAGGCUCACCAAGGCGACGAUCCUUAGCUGGUCUGAGAGGAUGAUCAGCCACACUGGGACUGAGACACGGCCCAGACUCCUACGGGAGGCAGCAGUGGGGAAUAUUGGACAAUGGGUGAAAGCCUGAUCCAGCAAUGCCGCGUGAGUGAUGAAGGCCUUAGGGUUGUAAAGCUCUUUUACCCGGGAUGAUAAUGACAGUACCGGGAGAAUAAGCUCCGGCUAACUCCGUG